rnacentral:lncRNA from 1 species
CAUAUGGUCAGCGGGCCAAAUCAGCCCCUUCAGGUGGUCUAGUUUGGUCUUUACUAGGUUUAAAAGCGAAAAAGAAUUGCUUUAAAUGGACUUUAAACCAUUGGUGUUGCACUUAUGUUAAGCCAUCAUCAUCAUUAGCAAUGGAUAGAACAAGGUUGUCAAACUCAUUUUAGUUCAGGGGCCAAAUACGGACCAGUUUGAUCUCAAGGGGCCGCAGAAUAUAGGCACGGGGGGGGGGGGGACAUAUUUUAACAUCAAUGUGAUCUAGUUUUCAAUAUCACUUCAAUUCACUUAAAAAUUAUUGAUUUAGUUCUCAAUUUUUGUGUAAUUUAGAGGAAUUUUGUGGAAUUGUUUGUGAGAAAUUGCAAGUUUUGUGGAAAAUUGAGAGUUCUUUCCAAAAUUUUCGAUUAAAAAUGACCACAUUAAUGUGAUAUAAACAAAGGAAAAACUGCAAGCCCCCAAAAAUAUUGUGGAGUUAAAUUAAAUUGGUGAAUUUGAGAUAUGUACAACUGGGUAAUUUGGUAAUUUACACAAUAAUUCAUCUUUUCGCUGUCAUUUUUUACUUUUUCCUGCGGGCCAAAUUGGAUGCUCUAAAGGGAUGGAUUUGGCCCCCGGGCCUUGAGUUUGACACAUGUGGACUAGAAUAUAUAAUCUUUUCAAACUGUUUCUAAAUGAUGUUUAUUUGCAUCUUUUGUGUAAAUUCUUAAAGCCACUUAAAAAAACCAAAAAAACAUUGCUCACAAAAAUAGAAAUAAAAAAUAAAAUGAAAUAAAUAUUCAAACUAAGAAUUUUUGAAAAACAUAAUUACCCAAUCAACAUAAAGCAUGAAAUGAAUAUCAGCAGAAAUGAGCCCCUAAGCAAUACAAUACAUACUAAUACUUGUGCUGUUUUUUCAGCCUGGCCCAGUAGUUUUCAAUUGUAACGUUUGUGGAACCUAAGCUAUGUUUGGCACCCCUGGUUUAAAAUAAUACAUUUCUAUGUAUUGUGUGCAUUUGCACGUUAUGCAUCUGUGUCACAAUCUCUCAUCUUUCAUCCACAUGGUGCCUGUUAAAUAUUCCAAAACGGAAACAUUGUGCAACGAACGACAUCGGGUUGAUGUUUAACACAUUUGCUGCUAAAACUGUGCCAAUAAACUUCUCCUGACAAUCCGACC